rnacentral:tRNA from 1 species
UAUGUUUUAGUAUAUGAUGUAUAGAAGCUUUUGAUGCUUAAGGGAACAGUUUAAUUCUGUUAGAUAUAA